GAUAUUAUUCAAAGCUCUAGAAAAAGCAAAUGCGAUCGACAGGAUAAGUUUUGAUUUAAUUGAGCUUUGCUCUCUGCGGUAUGAUCUGACUUAUUGCAGAGACACCCAAUCAAUUGAUUGCUCAUGGCUGCAUAUUGACACGCUAUGCAUGCAGUGGUAGUAAGUAGUAACUACUCUGUUUCUUGGCAGCAGAUCAUAUUGACACUUUGCAUCAUUCUUUCGCUCUGUCGGCCGAGGCGAGCAAGGAGAUCAAUGAGAAGGAGGAGAAGAAGGUUUUCUGUCAUGGACGGAAAGGAGAAGUCUGAAUGCACCAACGAGCAGCGACCUGUGAGCUGCCAUCUAUGGAUUGGGAUUGGCUAAGGGGGGAGUUGUCUUGCGCUGCAAGGGCAUCUCGCAGAUCGAUUUCCUUGGUUUGAUGUAUCUCGGAUUCUUAUUAGUAUUCGGUUUCACACAUAUUUGAUUGGAUAUUUUCUUUGAGCCAAGCACCAUGCCUUUUGAUCACUGGUGAAUUUGCACCGUACUGUCUAAACAUAGUUUGUUGGUUCCGAACUUUUGCGGCACAUAACCAAAUUUUAGCUUUCAGGAGUUUUGAUAUUGGCCAGUUCCACUGAACAUA